GCUUUUUAGCUCACCUGGCCCGAAGGGCCAAGUGAGCUUUUCUCAUCACUUGGCGUCCGGCGUCCAUCGUCGUCCAUCGUCGUCCGUGUCCAUCUUCGUCCGUCGUCGUUAACUUUUACAAAAAUCUUCUCCUCUGAAACUGCUGGGCCAAAUUUAACCAAACAUGGCCAAAAUCAUUAUUAGGGUAUCUAGUUUAAAAAUUGUGUCCGGUGACCCGGCCAACCAACCAAGAUGGCCGCCAUGGCUAAAAAUAGAACAUAGGGGUAAAAUGCAGUUUUUGGCUUAUAACUCAAAAACCAAAGCAU
rnacentral:lncRNA from 1 species